rnacentral:rRNA from 1 species
AGAGUUUGAUCCUGGCUCAGGACGAACGCUGGCGGUGUGCUUCACACAUGCAAGUCGAGCGAAUGAAGUAGGUAGCUUGCUACUUAUGGAUUUAGCGGCGGACGGGUGAGUAAUAUAUAGGAAUCUGCCUUAGAGCGGGGAACAACAGACCGAAAGGUUUGCUAAUGCCUCAUAGGUAUGCAGUCUUCGGAUUGUAUAUUAAAGGAGUAAUCCACUCUAAGAUGAGCCUGUAUCCGAUUAGCUAGUUGGCGGGGUAAAGGCCCACCAAGGCUACGAUCGGUAGUUGGUCUGAGAGGAUGAUCAGCCACAAUGGGACUGAGACACGGCCCAUACUCCUACGGGAGGCAGCAGUGGGGAAUUUUACACAAUGGGGGAAACCCUGAUGUAGCGACACCGCGUGAACGAAGAAGCCUUUUGGGGUGUAAAGUUCUGUCGGCUGGAACGAAAAAAAUGACGGUACCAGCAAAGGAAGCAUCGGCUAACUACGUGCCAGCAGCCGCGGUAAGACGUAGGAUGCAAGCGUUGUCCGGAUUUAUUGGGCGUAAAGAGUUCGUAGGCGGUUAUUUAAGUCUGAUGUUAAAUACUGUGGCCCAACCACAGAACUGCAUUGGAUACUGGAUGACUUGAGUGCGGUAGAGGCAAGUGGAAUUCCCAGUGUAGCGGUGAAAUGCGUAGA